rnacentral:lncRNA from 1 species
GUUUCGUCUCUUCUGAGGCCUCUCUCCUUGGCUUGCAGAUGGCCUCCUUCUCGCUGUGUCCUCACGUGGCCUUUUUUCUCCAUGUGCGUGCAUCCGUCGUGUCUCUCUUAUUCUUGGAAGAAAAACAUGUGCCUUCUGCUAACUGUCUGGUGUGUCCAGUUCUGAAUGUCAAGACCAAGUCCUGAAAAUGGGUACUGGGGACGACUUAAGAGACAAGGAAACAGAAACACAGAGAAACCCAAGAUCACCCAGCUGCUAAGGCCUUGAGCUGCUCUUUGUCCCUGUGCUGGAUUUGACCCACAGAGCCCAGCUCUUAACUACCAGCCUCUCUCAUCUCUUUGAUAAGCCACAGUUCUCCCCUCCUUGAUGCUACCUCAGAGAGAUAUAUGACUUCCCUGCAGAAUCCAUCUUCAUCCUGUGGGUGUAAAAAGACCCUUGAGCACGUCCCUUGGGUAAUAAAGCAGCUAGCUUCCACAGCUUUUUUUCAGCUACCGCUAAAAUGCUUUUAAAGGAAC